rnacentral:rRNA from 1 species
AGUGAACGCUGGCGGUAGGCCUAACACAUGCAAGUCGAACGGCAGCACAGUAAGAGCUUGCUCUUACGGGUGGCGAGUGGCGGACGGGUGAGGAAUACAUCGGAAUCUACUUUUUCGUGGGGGAUAACGUAGGGAAACUUACGCUAAUACCGCAUACGACCUACGGGUGAAAGCAGGGGAUCUUCGGACCUUGCGCGAUUGAAUGAGCCGAUGUCGGAGUAGCUAGUUGGCGGGGUAAAGGCCCACCAAGGCGACGAUCCGUAGCUGGUCUGAGAGGAUGAUCAGCGACACUGGAACUGAGACACGGUCCAGACGCCUACGGGAGGCAGCAGUGGGGAAUAUUGGACAAUGGGCGCAAGCAUGAUCCAGUCAUACCGCGUGUGUGAAGAAGGCCUUCGGGUUGUAAAGACCUUUUGUUGGGAAAGAAAAGCAGCAGGUUAAUACCCCGCUGUUCUGACGGUACCCAAAGAAUAAGCACCGGCUAACUUCGUG